AUUGAACGCUGGCGGCAGGCCUAACACAUGCAAGUCGAACGAGUGGCGGACGUGUGAGUAAUGUCUGUGAAACUGCCUGCUGGAGGGGGCUAACUACUGGAAACGGUAGCUAAUACCGCAUACCAUCAGAUGUUCCCCGGGUGGAUUAGCUAGUUGGUGGGGUAACGGCUCACCAAGGUGACGAUCCCUAGCUGGUCUGAGAGGAUGACAAGCCAAACUGGAACUGAGACACGGUCCAGACUCCUACGCGAGGCAGCAGUGGGGAAGAUUGGAAUAUGGGCGCAAGCCGGAUGCAGCCAUGCAGCGGGUAUGAAGAAGGCCUGCGGGUUGUAAAGUACUUUCAGUGGGGAGGCGUUACCCGCAGAAGAAGCACCGGCUAACUCCGUGCCAGCCGCCGCGGUAAUUC
rnacentral:rRNA from 1 species